GGGGAACUGCGCUCUCAGCUUCGUGCUCUGGAACCGCGAAACGAAACUUAAUUCCGCCCCUUCACCGGCGGAGGUCUGUGCCGUGAAGUGUUGCCGCGCACACUGACUCCUGAACGGAUCCGCAAAACAGGUCCGGGACGGAGGCCACUUGACGGCGCAACGGAUCCAGAACAGAUAGCCUAAUGAUUACGGAUCAGGUCAAGAUACGGGGUGAAAGUCCACCCGAAGCGAUUUCAACCGAGGAGGAGGUCCGGCCGGGGACGCCAUGCAGUGUGUAUCCGAAAUCUUGCAGCCGCAAUGUGGCAAACUCAGGAAAAGUCACCAAGUCUUGUACCGUUUAGAACAAGGGAGGUUUUUUUUUUUUUUUUUUUUAAUCAAAAUUAUUUUGGCCACAUUUGUCCGAGGGUUAACAACGUAAAUUACCUCAUUUUUUUGAUUUCAUACGAGGGGGACCCGCGAUUCGGAACGCAAUUACGCCACUGCCCCAGAGGUCCGUGCACGACACGACAUGCAGUGUGUAGCCGAAAUCUCGGAGUGGCUAUCUUGCAGCCGCAGCGCAACGUAACCCGAAAUUUGAAAGCCGGACUCCAUUCUAUAAAUACUGAGCACUGAUGGAUAUGAAUGUCAUUUUAUUCUACAAAAACCAGAGGAGAACAAUAUCUACGGCAUGGACACAGUUACUUUCAACUUGAGUGUUAAAGUGGAAGUGCAUAUGACGAAUGAUGGGCGUGGACUUCAGUGGAGAGUAAGCACUGCCUUUAACUCUCCAACUCAGUUCAGUCUGAGCACCGUCUUCUACCUGCUUCGGCGUGUUUGGCAGUGGAUCAUACCACAUAGAGUUGGAGAUAACAACUGAUUGGAACAAAGAUGUGACAGCAGAGAUUUCCCUUCCAUUCAUCCAGGAUCCACACUCAGUGAGUCUGAUGAUGGGACUAUUGACGGCGAAAUCUGCAAAAGGGGAUCGACAGACAAUCUGACAGCCUGUCAAUUUGACCAAGAAGACGAGAAGCCCUCAGCUGAUCUGAUCUCAUCUCCUGAACUUUUUCACAACCUCUCCGAGUCAUCCCGGACACUAAUAUAUUCUGUAGUGGAACCAUUCAUUUGUGGCUCAUCAACGAUUAUUGAGCUUUUAGCAUGACUUUGUCAAAGAUGUAUAUAUUCUCUAAUAAAAUAUCAUAAAGUCCUUUA